CAGCAGCCGCGGGAAUACGGAGGGUGCAAGCGUUAUCCGGAUUUAUUGGGUUUAAAGGGUCCGUAGGCGGAUCUGUAAGUCAGUGGUGAAAUCUCACAGCUUAACUGUGAAACUUCCAUUGAUACUGCAGGUCUUGAGUAAAUUUGAAGUGGCUGGAAUAAGUAGUGUAGCGGUGAAAUGCAUAGAUAUUACUUAGAACACCAAUUGCGAAGGCAGGUCACUAAGAUUUAACUGACGCUGAUGGACGAAAGCGUGGGGAGCGAACAGGAUUAGAUACCCCGGUAGUCCCUGUCUCUUAUAC
rnacentral:rRNA from 1 species